rnacentral:rRNA from 2 species
AUGUGACCUCAAAUCAGGUAGGACUACCCGCUGAACUUAAGCAUAUCAAUAAGCGGAGGAAAAGAAACUAACAAGGAUUCCCCUAGUAACUGCGAGUGAAGCGGGAAAAGCUCAAAUUUAAAAUCUGGCGGUCUUUUGGCUGUCCGAGUUGUAAUCUAGAGAAGUGUUAUCCGCG